AGUGGGGAAUAUUGGACAAUGGGCGGAAGCCUGAUCCAGCCAUGCCGCGUGUGUGAAGAAGGCCUUUUGGUUGUAAAGCACUUUAAGCGAGGAGGAGGCUACUAGUACUAAUACUACUGGAUAGUGGACGUUACUCGCAGAAUAAGCACCGGCUAACUCUGUGCCAGCAGCCGCGGUAAUACAGAGGGUGCGAGCGUUAAUCGGAUUUACUGGGCGUAAAGCGUGCGUAGGCGGCUUUUUAAGUCGGAUGUGAAAUCCCCGAGCUUAACUUGGGAAUUGCAUUCGAUACUGGGAAGCUAGAGUAUGGGAGAGGAUGGUAGAAUUCCAGGUGUAGCGGUGAAAUGCGUAGAGAUCUGGAGGAAUACCGAUGGCGAAGGCAGCCAUCUGGCCUAAUACUGACGCUGAGGUACGAAAGCAUGGGGAGCAAACAGGAUUAGAUACCCUGGUAGUCCAUGCCGUAAACGAUGUCUACUAGCCGUUGGGGCCUUUGAGGCUUUAGUGGCGCAGCUAACGCGAUAAGUAGACCGCCUGGGGAGUACGGUCGCAAGACUA
rnacentral:rRNA from 1 species